rnacentral:tRNA from 1 species
GCGAUUGUAGCUUAUUUAAAGCAUGGCACUGAAGAUGCCAAGAUGGGCAUACGCCCCAAAAGCA